GAUGAAGAACGUAGCGAAAUGCGAUACUUGGUGUGAAUUGCAGAAUCCCGUGAACCAUCGAGUCUUUGAACGCAAGUUGCGCCCGAAGCCAUUAGGCCGAGGGAACGCCUGCCUGGGCGUCACACGUCGUUGCCCCCCCAUCUACUCCUUCGGGAUUGCGGGGGGCGGAUGAUGGCCUCCCGUGCGCCUCGUCGCGCGGUUGGCAUAAAUGCCAAGUCCUCGGCGACGCACGCCACGACAAUCGGUGGUUGCGAAACCUCGGUUGCCCGUCGUGUGCGGUCGUCGCGCAUCGAGGGCUCGAAAAAAUUGCCGGGCUCCGGCUCGGCUUUCAACGCGACCCCAGGUCAGGCGGGGUUACCCGCUGAAUUUAAGCAUAUCAAUAAGCGGAGGA
rnacentral:misc_RNA from 1 species